rnacentral:lncRNA from 1 species
AGUAGCCAGACAAGCAAAUAUAAAUGCCUCAAUCUGGUUUCAUCAAAACGUCUUAUAUGUAGGUAAGUUGUCCAACAGAUUCCUUUAUAUUGAGUUCUUACUGUGUUUCCCAGCAUCCAGCAAAAGGUAUCUUUUGCAGAUUACAACUGCUGUAGUGUUUUUUUAAGAGAAGAGCACUGUACAUGAAAUGACAAGAUGUAAGAUCAAUGGAUCAAGCCAUGAUAGGAAAUAAAGUGCAAGAUACCAUUACGAUAGCAUGGGUUAGAUUUAGGGGGAAGAAUAAAACAUACAUGUCAUUCAAAAUGCUUACACAGUAAAAAGUAACAAAUAAUAACUCCACGGUCCACAACAUUCCUUGCAACUCUAUCAUUGCAGAACAACACAGCAAAUAAAUAACCUGAUCUAGAAACAUAUUUUGAACUCUAAAUCCGACUCAAACUGAAAUAACAAACAGAGUCGUGUUCAAAACUCAUCCCAAUCAUCAAUGGAUAAGGAGUCAUUGCAGAAUUGACAAAAGAAAUUAAUCGAAUUCAGUCAAAACAAUUCAGUGAAAGAACCAAGUUAUGCAUACUAGAAGUCAGGGCAAAAAUUGAAAAAGAACUGAGAUAAGGAAGACCGAACCAAUUUUCUUUAACCCAAUGCCUAAAAAGCCAAUCACAAGCGACCAUAAUCCUGGAAAGUAGCUUGAAAAGAUCUCAACUUAGAGGAGUAAAAAACAGAAGAACACAAAAAAAUCAGAAAAUUCAAAACAACAAUAACCAAUAAUCCAUCACAAAUUGAGAGAAAAGUCUAAUUCGAAACAGAUGCACCCAAAAUCAAUAAAGAAACCCAAGAAAAUUCCCAACAGAUAUGGAGACCUCGAAUUACUUAAACAUCAAAUGAUUCAAAUCCUACGGAACAUAGUAGAUUAUACAAGAAAAUUACAAAGAAAUAACAAUAUGUUUAAUUUAAAUAUCAUAAACAUAAUUGGGAGAGACAUCCAAUCAAAAAAUAAAACUACAGGGACCACAGCUCAGGGCAAAAACUGAAAAAUAAAAUGAGAAAAGAAAAACUAAA